rnacentral:lncRNA from 1 species
AAGUUUACAGCAAGUAUUUAGUCAUUGAGCUAUCAUUCAAAUCAUAAUAACUAGUCUUUACAAAAUAGAGCCCCAAAGUGCUAUAGAUAAAAGGUUUUCAUUUUGCUUUGCUUUUUAACUUUGGUGUUGUCUCUUUUCCUUUCUUUCUUCUCCCCUCAUCUUCUCUCUACCCUAUGGUCUGUUUUGGAUUUUUCUCGUUAUAUAUAAGCUUUAACUUUUGCUUUUCUUCUUUUUUUCUCCCCCUUUCUUUUUGAAUGGUUUUAGCAUCCUUGGGCGCAGAAAACUCUGGAAAUGUAUUCAUAAGUUUAGAAAUUAUAUAAGACACUUCAGAAUGAUAAUACUUAAUUAUUUUAGAAAUUUCCAUUUUGAAUUAUAUUGUUUAGGGGGAGGGCUAUUAAAGUGUUCUCUGCCAAUUUAUGAUACAUUUUAGAUUUCCCAGUUUUUUUCUGGAUAUCUGUCAGGAGAUGGUGUAGAGGUUUGGUAAGUAAUACAGUUUGAUUUUGUAUGUCUCAAGGGUUACUCAUUCAGUCACAUAUUUGAGUUUAUUUUAUUCUGGCCUUUUUCCCCUCUGGGGAUUCUAUUUAUAGUAUUAAUUGAAAAUCUUUAUGUUAAUGCUAAUUUUGAUUUUUUUUUCCACUAGCAUGUAUUGGAGCACUCAGGCUUGAAGAAGGACAUAGCUGCUAAGAUAGAUAAUGGUUAUUGCAAAAUGCACGUUUUUAAAUGGUCUCCAGUGUGGAUUGCUUCUGAGCUGCUGAUGGAUUGAAUACAUUGAGAAGGAAUGUGUCAUUUGGAAUCCAGGACCAGUCAGCAAGGAUAACUGCCUGAUUUUAUGAUUUCGUGACUGAUGCUGAAAUGGAAGCCAACCACUGCAGAAAUUUGGGGGAAAAUGAGAUCUGAAGAAUACAAGGGGAAGUAGGAAUUCAUUUCUAGCAUUUCCAAACCUGCUUAAUCGUGUCUGCUCCACCACAGUCAGAGGAAAAGACUGAGUUCAUGGAAAUUACCAGCUAAGCCUUACAUCUGUCUUUAAUGUUUUUAGGAAGUAUACUGAAAAGGUAAGUGAGAUGUCUGUUUUGAAGAAAGACUCUUACUGGGUACCUUAAAACCCGUUGUUUCCUAUUAGUAAAGAUGGGCAGCUUCUUUAUUCCUAGCUUCAAAAAGCCUUGCCCCUGUUUGGUGUGUUUCUCAGUAUUGUGGAGAAGGUAGUUUCUGAGCAAGGUGGUGCUUUUCCUCUGCUUCUCAGCAGCUAAGACAGAAAUUGCACCGAAGUGUACAAAGGGCCAAUUUUUGUUGUCCUGUUGUGCUCAAAUCCUUUUUUUUAAAAAAGUUAUUUCAAUCAAGUCUUAGUUUUAUUCCUCACUAUAUAGGAAAAAAAUCUUUAAUGCCUCAAAAGUUCCAUUCAGCAUUACAUUUGCAUUACUCUUAUUUGCAGCAAAUAUGAGUAAAAUUAUAGGUUUUUAAAGGUCUCUAAUAACAUCCACUUAUAUUGGUUUUGUAGAUAAUCCAUAAAUUACCAGAAAUAAAUUAUUCCACAUUUAUUACACACCCAUGUAAUAGAUGUCGUGCCAGGCCCUGGAAUAUACUAAUGGCAUCACCUCAUGUGGUAAAAAGACACAUUCCGCCAUCCUGGAGUAUACAAAGGUAGACUAGCAUAUAGUUCAUGUGCUCAAGGAGUUCAUUUUUAUUGACAUGAUACAGAUAGAAUUGUAGUUUAGGGAAUCAAAAUCUAAUAAAAUGAGGCUAAUUCCAUUUUCCCAUUAACACUAAUAACUAGUGUGUAAAUCUGAAUAUGACACAUUCUAUAUGAAAGAAGCUCUGUGUGCAUCUACACUAAAUACUCGUGUGUGCCAGGUACUGUUUUAAACUACGUAUAUUUUUUUAAUUCUCAUAACUGUUCUCUGAGGUAUGUACUAAUACUAAAGCUUAUUGUUAAAGGAAGGCAGAAAAAUUAAGUAACUUGGCCUAAGUUUGCAUAACUGUGAUCUGGGAUCAAUAUUUGAACCCAUACAGGCUGAUUGCAGAGCCUGCACUCUUAAUUUGAGUGUGAUAUUUAUGUGCAGUACCUGGCUAUAAGUACCCACAAAACGUUUCAAAUUCUUUAUAAAAUUUGCUUAGUUAAAAAAGUACCAAUUGCAUAAUAUGGUUAUAAGUCUGGUAGAAGUUAGGCUUUUUACAAGACAUGCUGCUUACUGCACCAAGGAGGCAAGAAGGCUUUUUAGAGAGCCCAGAAUUUCCUUUCCUCAACUCCUGCUUCCAAGACAGUCAUUUUGCAUGAUAACCGUUUCCCCAAAAAACACAGACACAAAAUUUAAAGAACUGGAACAGAGGAAGCAGAGCUUAUCAUAGUAUAUAUGUUUAGUACCCUGUCACUUAGGUCCACCCCUCUUUCUUUGUGGAUUGUGGACAUUUUGUUUAACUGCUAAAUCAUGAGAAUAUAUGACUGCUGAGACUUUUCCAAGGAUUUUUUAAAAAACACAUUAGGCUUUGUGCAGAAGUAAAGAAAAAGUGCUGUGAGAACCCCAGGUAGGUAAUUUACUUUCUAUUGUACUCAUAGUUUGUUUGAAACCUCUUCACCUCUAUCCCUUAUUGUUUUAUACUCUGUAAAUCUGAUUUUACCUUUAAUAAACUUUUCUGAAGUGAGUGAGUUUUUUUUGUCUUAUUUCCCAUUAGAUUCUCUACCUUCUUUGUUCACUUUACGUAUGUUAUUGCCACUCCCUUCAAAACUGGUGGUUUAAUUAAAGUGACAGCAUCUUCUAUAUACCCAGUACUGUUGAGGAUUAAAAAAUACAUGUGUGCCGGAUGUGGUGGCACACACCUAUAAUCCUAGCACUUUGGGAGGCCUCAGGCAGGAGGAUUGCUUGAGCUAAGGAGUUCGAGACCAGCCUGGUCAACGUGGCAAAACCCCAUCUCUACUAAAAAGACAGAAAGUUAACUGGGCCUGAUGUUGUGCACCUCUCACCCCAGCUACUUGGGAGGCUGAGAGGUGGGAGGGUCACUUGAUCCUGGGAGGUCAACGCUGCAGUGAGCUGAGAACAAGCCACUGCACUCCAGCCUGGGCGACAAAGCGAGACCCUGUCUCAAUAGAAAAAAGAAAAAGUGCCAAGGCUUUGCUCCUAGUUCGGUGCAGGUUCCAACCAGUACUAAAACUUUGCAAAUUUUUGAGGGAAAAACCAGAAGUUGUAGAAUCAAUAUGAGCAUUUAAUUGUAUAGCAAGCAAUUGUGGCAGAAAAAAUUCACCCUAGUGAAAUCAAGUUAACUAUUCUGUGAAUGAGAUUAACCAGAGGAACAAUUUUGACCAUGUAUCUUUUAAAUCACUGUUUCUCAAACUUCAGUGUGUAUGGGAAUCACCAGGGAUCUUGUUAAAAUGCAGAUUUUGAUUUAGUAGGUCUGGGGUCAACCUGGAGAAUUUGAAUUUAUUUUCUCUUUUUUUAAAAGUAGUUUGAAAUAUAUUUCACAUACCAUAAAAUUCACUCUUUAAAACUGUCCAAUUAACUGUUUUUUAGCAUGUAGAGUUGUUCCACUAUCACCAUUCUAAUUUCAGGACAUUUUCACCGUGCUGAAAAAGAAACCUUGUACCUAUCACUCCCCAUCCCCCUCUCCCUUCCACCCUUUUCCCCUCCACCAGCAUCUGGCAACUGUUAAUCCACUUUCUGCCUUAAUUUAUAUCUUCUGGACAUUUCAUAACGUUUUAUAGACUUCUGUACCUGGCGUCUUUCACUUAGUGUUCAAGGUUCAUCGAUGUUGUAGCAUGUAUCAGUACUUCAUUCCUUUUUGUGGCUGAAUAAUACUCCAUUGUAUGGCUAUAGCACGUUUUCUGUGUCCCUGCAUCAGUUUCCAUUUUUUGGCUAUUAUGAAUAAUACAGCUAUGAACAUUUAUGUACAAGAUUUUGUGUGAAAGUAUGUUUUCAUUUCUGUUGGGAAUAUACCUAGGAGUGGAAUUAUUGGGUCAUAUGGUAACUAACAUUUUAAAGAACCGGGAAACUAUUUUCUAAGGUGGCUGGACCAUUUGAGAGUGCAUUCCUGACAAGCAUCCAGGUGAUACUGAAUAGCAGGCUCUAGAUUACAUUUUGACAUCUAUCAAGAAAACAGGAACAUGAACUUUAACUGAGUUCAGCUGCCAAAAUCUGGCCAGCAGCAAAGAAGGUGGGGUGGUUUUGGUUUUCAUAGGGCCUUGGUACCUCCGAUUUUCUACCAUUAGUCUUAAUGUACCUGGGCUUAUUGUUCUAGCCUUCGAACUCUUCAUGUAAAUUGAUAUAUCUGCUAUCUAAAAAAGAAAGAAUAUUCAUUUUUAGUUGAAAGAGGCAUUUCUAAGAUGAGAAUGGCCAUACUGUCAGUGUGGUAACACUGUUUUUGAUAGUGUCCUGAAAGCAUGUUGAUCCUUUCUAGGUGCCAUCAGAGAAGGAAGGGUAUGCUGGUGGAGCAUGCACACAAAUGAUUUAAUACAUUGUAGUGCAUGUUGGGAUAGAGCAAAGGAGGGCAGAUUCAAGGAAGACUUCCAGGAGACGAGUCCUGAACUCAAUCUCUUAAUUCAUUCAACUAAGAUUUAAUGUAGGAGAUCUAGAUUCUGUGGGGGUUCAGAUGAGGUAGGGAUUACUUCUGUUUUAUAUGAGGUAGGAUGACAAUGGGGGUAGGUGGUAGUAGAAAUUAGAAUAUUUCUUUGGGAUGAUACUUGAAGUAAGCCAGGAUUUUAGAUACAGAGGUAUAUGAGAAGGGUGUGUUCUAAGAUGAUAAAGCAGAAGGAACUAAAAUACAGAAGUCAAAUGGCACGACGUAUACCAGCUGUAUUUACUGAAAUAUGCCUAGAGGUGCUGUGUUAAGCCUCAGGUACACAAAAACAUAAAACAUGACCCUGCCUUCAUAAUUAGAACUCAAGUGAGAUGUUUGAAGUGUAAUACAAUGUGAUUUGUAUGAAAAAUCACAUUGUGUGUGUGGUAGGAGGUAUAGAUUAGUUUUUAAGAAGGCGUAAUUUUCUUGACUGGUGGUUGGUUCUGUUUGGUUUGACUCAUGGGUGCCUGAAAUAAAAGGAGUAGGAAAUACAGAUGUAAAGGUAAGUUGGGCUGUUAUUUACUGUUGUUUACUUUGGCAGAAAUGGUCUAAAAAACUAAGCAUGUGACGAGUAAUGAGAGGGGAGCAGCAGGAGUCUGAGUUUGGGUUCCUUUUCUUCCAUUAGUUCCUGUGUGACUCUCCCUUGUGAUCAUUGAUCUUUACUGGAGGUACAGAGUACCUGGUCUGGUCCUCAGUUUUAAGAAAAUGAAUUACCUAGUAUACUCCAAGGCCCAACUUCUGUACCCCAUAGUUGGAAAUUGUCAGCUUUCCUACAAAGAUUGAUUUAUGAGCUGCUCUUUAAAGCAACUUCUUAUAACAUUUUCAACCUUUUGACUGUUCACAAUUAAGAGUCCUUCAAUCUUUUCCCAUCCCAAUAGAUGAAAUGGCAAGACAAAAUUUCCAUGAGUUAUAUUGGACAGGUUUCUAUGCAUUACCUGUUGUUGCAUAACAAAUUACCCCCCUAAAACUUAGCAGCUUAAAACAAACAUUUAUUAUCCUCUACAAUUACUCUGGGUGAAGAAUCCAAGAGUCACUUAGCUGAGUGAUUCUGACUCUUAAGAGGUUGCAGGCUGGGUGCGGUGGCUAACACCUGUAAUCCCAGCACUUUGGGAGGCCAAGGUAGGAGAAUCGCUUGAGCUCAGGAGUUCAAGACCAGCCUGGGCAACAAUAGUGAGACCUCGUCUCUACAAAAAAAUUUAAAAAUUAGCCAGGCAUGGUGGCACACACUUGUAGUCCCAGCUGCUCGGGAGGCUGAGGUGGGAGGACUGCUUGAGCCCAGCAGAUCGACAGGUUGAGGCUUCAGUGAGCUGUGGUUGUGCCACUGCAUUCCAGCCUGGGUGACAGAGGAAGACCAUGUCUUUUUUUUUUUUUUUUUAAAAAGUAAUCUGAAGGCUUGACUAGGGUUGCAGGAUUUGCUUUCAAGGUGGCUCACGUGCAUGACUACACCUCACUUCCUAGGCAAGUGGACUUCUGCAUAUACUGAAUAUUCUCAUGUAGCUGGCUUCCCCCACAAAGUGAAUAGGAAGACUCCAUUUCCACAGUAUCUCAUUGACCACACAGGUCAACCCUCUUCAGUAUGGGAGGAGACUACCCAGGGCUAGAAUACCAUGAAGUGAGAAUCAUCAGGGCCACCUUGGAGGCUGGCUGCCAAAACUUAGGAUGAAUUUGAGGCUACUUUCCUAUUAAGUGUAUAAAGCUGACCUUUGACAUGCAAACUUAGUAAUACCUAUUUAUGAUUCCUGAUACACUUUAAUACUCUAUAGUGAUUUCUUCAGAAGCAUUUUGACCUAAAUGUAAAUAUAUCAUUCACUAUGCAUACAUUUUUCUAAAAGGGAGUUUAAUAUCUACACCAGGAUGAAUUGUAGUAUGUUUUAACAUAUGUAAGGUGCUCAGUACUUGCUCAACUAAAGCCAGGUGUGGUCAUGCACACCAGUGGCACUUGGAAGCUGAGGCAGAAGGAUUGCUUGAGCCUGGGAGCUUGAGGCUGUAGUGUGCAAUGUUCAUGCCUCUGAAUAGCCAUUGCCCUUCAGCCUGAGCAACAUAGUGAGACUGUUUUUU